GCUGUUUGACACUUUUUUUACCCCUUUUUUUCCGCUGUUGUUUUCUUGUGUGUGCGCCAAAGUUUUCAAAUGUCGCACGUCAUUUGAUAAGUUUGUCGCAUCUUCCACUAUACACCGCUUGAUGCCUGUUUACCCUAUUUUUCCCGCUUUUUCUUUUUCAGCUAGACGGAGCCUGUUUGGUCAGCCAGCAUUUGUUUUUGGAAGCCUCCACACACCUCUUUUAUGUUUGACUUGCCUGGAUGUUUGGUCUUUUGUUAAUAUCUUACUAGUUAAUUUCUAAUCCCAGUUCUUUACCUCAUAAACUCAGGUAGGCUGAGCGCAAGAAAUGUCUGAGGAAGCCUUUUCAGACAUGGAUACCACCUCACAACCUUCUACCUCUUAGGAAACUACUGGCACCCCACGCAAACCCCGUUAUUUCACAAAGAAGAAAAACUUUAUCGACCAAGAAAUUUAUGUACUUGUGGAGGAGAAAAUACUUUGGAGGAGGCUCCCCCUGAAGAAGAGGAAAACAUGCCUGACGUAUCAGGGGAACUUCCAUCACCUGAGCAACCUCCUUCUCCACCACCAACGGUCCAAAAUGAAACAAACUGAUCUUUUCCCGAUCUUGGCCUUACACCUAAUGCACAAAAUGCAUUUCUACAUGAGUUUAGUCAGUAAGCAGAAGCUAUUAUGCAUCACCUAGGUGAAAAGUUGGACAAACUGAAUCAUAGACCCUCCCAUUAUGUCCAGAGAUUUGAAGCAUCUCUUGAGAGUGCCUAAAAGUCUUUCAAUUAUCAAGCGUGUUCUACGUUGAGCGUGACUGUAUUGUUCUUCAGCAUCGCAUGAUGGAUUCAGAAUUGCAACAGGCAAACCAACAAGCCAAUGAGGACGGAGCCACACAGCUUAUGGAAAGCUUGACCCUAUAGGAAGAAGUACAAGAAGUAACACAGUAUUUCACACUAAACCUUGAAGAAAUCCAAGAGGCAGAAACCGUGGAAGGCCAAACUCAGUUGUUUUUGGAGAACGCAGAUAGGGCCAUGUAAAGCUCUGGCUAUGAAAAAUUACAAACCCAGAAAAAAAAUCUUGAGGUCCACAUGCUUCAGCAACUAAAGCCAAUGAGCCUUAAAACACUAGACCUACUGUUUAAUUUAUGAGACAUCUGUUACUUUGCACAAUGUUUUGAAUAGUUUGUUUGGCUCAGUCAUAUCAAUGCAUAAUUGGUUUAGGGAUGAUCAUGUUGACCAAGUUGCCUUAUUUAUAUUUUAAGACCUGAUAAAGUUUUUUUUUUUAGUUUGUUACAAAAUGGCAAAAUUUCCUAAAACUCAGACUAGAUUCAGAAAUUUUGCCCUUACUUGAGAUAAACAAAUAAGGCAUGCCUCGGAAAACAUGUUACAAACUAAAAAGUGUGGUUUAUGAGCUAGUCUAUUGUUUGAAAGGCUAUUUUUUGAAUCCACAACUGAGUUGUAAUGCUGCAUUCAUAUCAUGAUGGGACCUUCCGAAACACAGAUACGAUUUUGUAAGCU